rnacentral:rRNA from 1 species
UACGUAGGGGGCGAGCGUUGUCCGAAUUUACUGGGCGUAAAGCGCGCGUAGGCGGCCAUUUAAGUUCGGGGUGAAAGGUUCAACGCUCAACGUGAACAGUGCCUUGAAUACUGGGUGGCUUGAGUUCGGGAGAGGGCAGUGGAAUUCCUGGUGUAGCGGUGAAAUGCGUAGAUAUCAGGAGGAACACCGAUGGCGAAGGCAGCUGCCUGGCCUAGAACUGACGCUGAGGUGCGAAAGCGUGGGGAGCGAACAGG